AUCCAGUACUAUUGGGCGUAAGAGCUCGUAGGCGGUUUGUCGCGUCUGCCGUGAAAGUCCGGGGCUCAACUCCGGAUCUGCGGUGGGUACGGGCAGACUAGAGUGAUGUAGGGGAGACUGGAAUUCCUGGUGUAGCGGUGAAAUGCGCAGAUAUCAGGAGGAACACCGAUGGCGAAGGCAGGUCUCUGGGCAUUAACUGACGCUGAGGAGCGAAAGCAUGGGGAGCGAACAGGAUUAGAUACCCUGGUAGUCCAUGCCGUAAACGUUGGGCACUAGGUGUGGGGGACAUUCCACGUUUUCCGCGCCGUAGCUAACGCAUUAAGUGCCCCGCCUGGGGAGUACGGCCGCAAGGCUAAAACUCAAAGGAAUUGACGGGGGCCCGCACAAGCGGCGGAGCAUGCGGAUUAAUUCGAUGCAACGCGAAGAACCUUACCAAGGCUUGACAUGAACCGGAAACACCUGGAGACAGGUGCCCCGCUUGCGGUCGGUUUACAGGUGGUGCAUGGUUGUCGUCAGCUCGUGUCGUGAGAUGUUGGGUUAAGUCCCGCAACGAGCGCAACCCUCGUUCUAUGUUGCCAGCACGUGAUGGUGGGGACUCAUAGGAGACUGCCGGGGUCAACUCGGAGGAAGGUGGGGACGACGUCAAAUCAUCAUGCCCCUUAUGUCUUGGGCUUCACGCAUGCUACAAUGGCCGGUACAAAGGGUUCCGAUACUGUGAGGUGGAGCUAUCCCAAAAGCCGAUCUCAGUUCGGAUUGGGGUCUGCACUCCACCCCUGAAAUCGG
rnacentral:rRNA from 1 species